UGGGGAAUAUUGCACAAUGGGCGAAAGCCUGAUGCAGCAACGCCGCGUGAGUGAUGAAGGCCUUCGGGUUGUAAAGCUCUGUCUUUUGGGACGAUAAUGACGGUACCAAAGGAGGAAGCCACGGCUAACUACGUGCCAGCAGCCGCGGUAAUACGUAGGUGGCAAGCGUUGUCCGGAUUUACUGGGCGUAAAGGAUGCGUAGGCGGAUUUUAAGUGAGAUGUGAAAUACCCGGGCUUAACUUGGGUGCUGCAUUUCAAACUGGGAAUCUAGAGUGCGGGAGAGGAGAAUGGAAUUCCUAGUGUAGCGGUGAAAUGCGUAGAGAUUAGGAAGAACACCAGUGGCGAAGGCGAUUCUCUGGACCGUAACUGACGCUGAGGCAUAAAAGCGUGGGUAGCAAACAGGAUUAGAUACCCUGGUAGUCCACGCCGUAAACGAUGAGUACUAGGUGUAGGAGGUAUCGACCCCUUCUGUGCCGCAGUUAACACAAUAAGUACUCCGCCUGGGAAGUACGAUCGCAAGAUU
rnacentral:rRNA from 1 species